rnacentral:rRNA from 1 species
GACGAACGCUGGCGGCGUGCUUAACACAUGCAAGUCGAACGCUGAAGCUCAGCUUUUGUUGGGUGGAUGAGUGGCGAACGGGUGAGUAACACGUGAGUAACCUGCCUCCUUCUUUGGGAUAACGCCCGGAAACGGGUGCUAAUACUGGAUAUUCACUGGUCUUCGCAUGGGGGUUGGUGGAAAGGGUUUUUCUGGUGGGGGAUGGGCUCGCGGCCUAUCAGCUUGUUGGUGGGGUGAUGGCCUACCAAGGCUUUGACGGGUAGCCGGCCUGAGAGGGUGACCGGUCACAUUGGGACUGAGAUACGGCCCAGACUCCUACGGGAGGCAGCAGUGGGGAAUAUUGCACAAUGGGCGCAAGCCUGAUGCAGCGACGCCGCGUGAGGGAUGGAGGCCUUCGGGUUGUGAACCUCUUUCGCUCAUGGUCAAGCCGCAACAAUGGUUGUGGUGAGGGUAGUGGGUAAGGAAGCGCCGGCUAACUACGUG